GGGAACUCCCUUUAGACAUUUCAAAAAAUCGAUUUUUUUUUUACUGUCUUAAUCGAUAGGUAUAUGCUUCGAGAAUAUAAUUCCGAAGUUUCAAAAUUCUAUUUUCAAAAUUGUGGAAGUUAUGCGACUUUAAAGCGGCGCGCUCGACCGGUGCGUGAGACAUCUCCCGAUUAGCGCGCGCAGAACGUCGGCACAGCGAAAGCACGAAAGAGGCCCGAAGUGCUCGUAGGGAGGCAAAUCUCCUUGAAAAUGAGUUUUUUGAGGAAGAAGAAGGUUCGCUUUACGAACCUGGUGGAGCUGAUUGACGUGUUACUGCCACCAUCGUGUCCACUAUUGAAUAAGAAUUGCGGUCAGGAUCGCCCACGCAGAUUUCCAUGUCAGCGGCGAGGCGAGAUACAAGAUCAGCUAAAACUUCAAUUAUUUAUAAUUUUGCAAACAAUGAAAAUGUUUUUUUCUUAUCUUUAAACAUUGUCCUGAAUAUAUAUAAUACCAAUUUGA